UGGGGAAUAUUGGACAAUGGGCGCAAGCCUGAUCCAGCCAUGCCGCGUGGGUGAUGAAGGCCCUAGGGUUGUAAAGCCCUUUCGGCGGGGAAGAUAAUGACGGUACCCGCAGAAGAAGCCCCGGCUAACUUCGUGCCAGCAGCCGCGGUAAUACGAAGGGGGCUAGCGUUGCUCGGAAUCACUGGGCGUAAAGCGCACGUAGGCGGCUUCUUAAGUCGGUGGUGAAAUCCUGGAGCUCAACUCCAGAACUGCCUUCGAUACUGAGAGGCUCGAGUCCGGGAGAGGUGAGUGGAACUGCGAGUGUAGAGGUGAAAUUCGUAGAUAUUCGCAAGAACACCAGUGGCGAAGGCGGCUCACUGGCCCGGUACUGACGCUGAGGUGCGAAAGCGUGGGGAGCAAACGGGAUUAGAUACCCUAGUAGUCCCUGAGCGGGCUGGCAAGGCGCAU
rnacentral:rRNA from 1 species